CUAAGAAUAUUCCGCAAUGGACGAAAGUCUGACGGAGCGACGCCGCGUGGAUGAAGAAGGCCGAAAGGUUGUAAAAUCCUUUUGCUGAGGAAGAAUAAGUGUGGGAGGGAAUGCCCGCAUGAUGACAUGAAUCGGCGAAUAAGCCCCGGCCAACUACGUGCCAGCAGCCGCGGUAACACGUAGGGGGCGAGCGUUGUUCGGAAUUACUGGGCGUAAAGGGCAGGUAGGCGGUUAUGUAGGCCUGGCGUGAAAGUCCACAGCUUAACUGUGGGAUUGCGUUGGGAACUAGAGGACUAGAGUUACGGAGAGGGAGCUAGAAUUCCUGGUGUAGGGGUGGAAUCUGUAGAGAUCAGGAAGAAUACCGAUGGCGAAGGCAAGCUCCUGGCCGAUGACUGACGCUGAGGGACGAAAGUGUGGGGAUCAAACA
rnacentral:rRNA from 1 species